UAGGGAAUCUUCCGCAAUGGGCGAAAGCCUGACGGAGCAACGCCGCGUGAGUGAUGAAGGUCUUCGGAUCGUAAAACUCUGUUAUUAGGGAAGAACAAAUGUGUAAGUAACUAUGCACGUCUUGACGGUACCUAAUCAGAAAGCCACGGCUAACUACGUGCCAGCAGCCGCGGUAAUACGUAGGUGGCAAGCGUUAUCCGGAAUUAUUGGGCGUAAAGCGCGCGUAGGCGGUUUUUUAAGUCUGAUGUGAAAGCCCACGGCUCAACCGUGGAGGGUCAUUGGAAACUGGAAAACUUGAGUGCAGAAGAGGAGAGUGGAAUUCCAUGUGUAGCGGUGAAAUGCGCAGAGAUAUGGAGGAACACCAGUGGCGAAGGCGACUUUCUGGUCUGUAACUGACGCUGAUGUGCGAAAGCGUGGGGAUCAAACAGG
rnacentral:rRNA from 1 species